rnacentral:rRNA from 1 species
GAUAGCACAUUUACAUGUGUAUCCGUGGUUUUCUAGAGCUAAUUAUGCUGGUAGGCCCCACUUUUGCGGAAGGGCGGUAUUUAUUAGAUAACAAGCCGAUAUUCCUCUGGUCUAUUGUGGUGACUCAGAAUAACUGAUCGAAUCGAAUGGCCUUUGGCCGCGCCCUAUCAUUCAUGUUUCUGCCCCAUCAGCUUUCCAUGGUAGUGUAUUGGACUACCAUGGCGUUUACUGGAAACGGAAGAUUAAGGUUCAAUUCCGGAUAGGGAGCCUGAGAACGGCUACCACAUCUAAGGAAGGCAGCAGGCGCGUAAAUUACCCAAUCCUGACUCAGGGAGGUAGUGACAAGAAAUAACGGACCGAGGCCUUCGGGCUUCUGGAUUGCAAUGAGCCAAAUUUACACCCCUUAUCGAACAUCGAUUGGAGGGCAAGUCUGGUGCCAGCAGCCGCGGUAAUUCCAGCUCCGAUACCGUAUAUUAAAGUUGUUGCGGUUAAAAAGCUCGUAGUUGGAUUUCUGGGAGGGUGCCGAUGUCCACUUAACGUGUGCGCAGCGGCGCCCUCUCAUCCUUCUGUUAGCGUCUCUUGGCAUUCAUUUGCUGGUGGCGGGCUCAAAUAUUUUACCUUGAGAAAAUUAGAGUGUUUCAGGCAAGCUAUGCCGGAAUACAUUAACAUGGAAUAAUGGAAUACGACUACGGUCUCUUUGUUGGUUUGAGGGACUGCAGUAAUGAUUAAUAGGGAUAGUUGGGGGCAUUAGUACUUAACUGUCUCAGGUGGAAUUCUCAGAUUUGUUUAGACUGACUUAUGCGAAAGCAUUUGCCAAGGAUGUUUUCAUUAAUCAUAACGAUCGUUAGGGGAUCAAAGACGAUCAGAUACCGUCCUAGUCUUAACCAUAAACUAUGACCGACUCGGCGAUUGGUGGCGUGUUCUAUCCGCACUUCAGCACCAUAUGAAAACUCUAAGUCUUUUGGGUU